rnacentral:rRNA from 1 species
UACGUAGGGUGCAAGCGUUGUCCGGAAUUAUUGGGCGUAAAGAGCUCGUAGGCGGUUUGUCGCGUCUGCUGUGAAAACUCGGGGCUUAACCCCGGGCCUGCAGUGGGUACGGGCAGACUAGAGUGCGGUAGGGGAGACUGGAAUUCCUGGUGUAGCGGUGAAAUGCGCAGAUAUCAGGAGGGACACCGGUGGCGAAGGCGGGUCUCUGGGCCGUAACUGACGCUGAGGAGCGAAAGCAUGGGGAGCGAACAGG